UUUUUUUCUCAGCCGCUCCAUCUUCCUAAACAUCCUUAGGGUUUUUUGCAUUGCAGCCGCCAUAGUUCUUCUCCGUCUCCAAUCUUUGAUCUUCAUCUCAAUGGUACAAUCUUCUCUCCUUAUUUUUUUUUGUGUGUUUUUAUUUUUUGUAUUAUGGAUUAGGUUCGUUGUUUGAAGUUCAAUCGAUUGUAUGUUUUUCUUCCAAGACAUAUUCGAUCUCUAAUCGCUGAUGUUGGAACCUCGCUUGAUUUUUCAUUGUUCAUAUUGCAUAUUGUGUGUUGGGCGUAAGAAAUACAACUACCGAUCAAAAAGUAGAACAACCGAAGGUUCGAUUUGGAGUAUUUCAGUAUUUCAGAUCACAGGUUUGAUUCGGCUUCAUCUUUGUCACACUACAAUUAAGCAUUUGGAUAUGGAUUGUUUUAUAAGGGUUUUGCGUGAAGUUGAGGAAUAAGAAAGGUGACAGUUGUUAAGGGUGUCGGCUGAUACAAAAGCUUUGCGGUUAAGAAUGAUUUUAAGAUCUGGGUACAAAACCUGAGGCGAUUGACUAAUUUAGGGUUCGAUUAGGGUUUCUCAGUACACAGCUACCCAUCCUUAAUGUUUUAUUUGAUUCUUCUUUUUUAAUUAAGAUGGAGAAGCUUCCUGAAUGGACUCGACUGAUAUAGUAUUGGUACCUUCAAGAAACAUGUUCCCUAUGAUCUUGACUGGUAUUACAUAUAAAGCUGUUUUUAUCGCCAGGAAAAUAUACUUAAGGGGUGGUGUUGGUGUUCGUGCCUUCCAGACAAAACCAUUUGCUACAUUGUUCAACAAUUGGAAACAAUGAAAAUCAUUGAUGUGGAUCCCAAGUGGUUUUUGUAUUUUUAACUGCUGAAUAUAGCACUCCAAAGGAUUCCCUGAAUCAGGUUUCAUUGUGGGAUCGUAUCAUACCAGCAAGAGAAGAUGCAAAGUUUUCUACAAAAAUUAAGAACAAGUACAAGUUCAUUGAUCAGGUAGUCAAGAAGGUUUACGGAGAUGAAGAUUGUUCGAUUUUCGGGUUCCAUUUCGUCCAUAAACAACACGUUCUUGUCGAACUGUAUUAUCUUGGCAAUAUCACCUGCUAAUCAAGAUCUUGCUACACCAGAUGCGAUUAAAAUGUUGCGUGAGGUGGACCCCACAGGUGAAAGAACUAUUGGAGUGUUGACCAAGAUUGACUUGAUGGAUAAGGGUACCAAUGCAGUUGACAUUUUAGAAGGAAAAUCUUAUCGGCUAAAGUUCCCAUGGGUCGGGAUUGUUAACUGUUCACAACAAGAUAUUAAUAAAAGGGUCGAUAUGGCUUUUGCUAGACGUAAAGAAAGAGACUACUUACCAGCAUAGAAUACAAGCAUCUGGCUUCUAGAAUGGGUUCUGAAUAUCUUGCAAUAAUGCUCUCAAAGCAUUCGGAAGGCGUGAUUAAAUCCCGUAUUCCAGGUAUUCAAUCAUUAAUCAACAAAACUUUAUCUGAUCUCGAAGCAGAACUGAGUCAUCUUGGAAAGCCUAUAUCUACUGAUGUUGGUGCUUUAAUGGAUGCGCGCAAGCUUAUUGAGCGUGAAAUGGAAUAGUUUAUGAUGUGUGAGAAGGAGACGAAGACAAAAGCUUUCUCCAAGGAAGGCCUGGGACAGCAGCCUAAAAAGGAUCCUAAGGAGAAAGCCAAGUGAGAUACCAGAGACCUGAUUAUGUCUAAUAUGCUUAGCCUCCAAGUAGCUGAUUAUUCAGCUAAUGUAUCUUCUGUAUCCGUCUUUCUCUGCCGCAACCCUAAGCGACACAAUGAUUUGGGUUUGAAUACGAGUUACUAGUUAUCACCAGUUUUGAGGUCUCCUCAAUGUGCUACUGGUCAUUAGACGACGUGGGGGGUGAUUGAUGAUUGUUUUUACUACUCCAGACAAAGAAACAAUGAUUUGCCGAAAAUCCUUUUUACUUCCAUAUCGUAAGUUUCCUUUUCUUUAUUUUAUUGUGUUUCAUUAUGUAUGUUAAUUGGCUAAUUAAGGUUCUUACUAUGAACAAAUCCAAUUGAUGGUUAAAUUACUCAUUAUAUCUCAAUCAGUAGGUGACUCUAAUAUAUCAUCUCAAUUAAUAAAGUUUUCCCAAAUUAAGUGUUUUGAUUUGUAAUUAUGUGUGUGACUAUGUGUUUACUGUGAGGUUUUUGUUAUGCUGAUAUUUGUGAAAUCGAAUACGUUAUUUAGUUUA